rnacentral:lncRNA from 1 species
GUCGGGGGCCAUCCUGCUCACCUGGGACGGUGGGUGGGACUCUCUCCGAGGGAGGCGAGGGCAGGGGGCUCUGGGGCUGAGGGCCUGAAAGCUUUGAUUGAUUCGCAAUCGGAGGCCCCCACCCUCCAGGCUGUGUGAGUGGGUGCCGGGCUCCCCUAUCCCCUCCUUCAUGCUUCUUAGUCACCACACACAGCCCCGUCCCUGGAAGAGCUCUUAGAAAUACUGAUGCGUGCUGGGCCCUCGCCCCACAGCGAUCGCAGCAGGACUUCUGGGGGUGAUGGGCAGGGACGGAUGGCAUGGGGGAGAGACAGCACAGGACAGUGGCGGGGGGGGGUGCCACGGGGGGAGAG